CCUCAGAUUGUACUAUCCAACAUGGCGGGC
rnacentral:piRNA from 1 species